GAUGAACGCUGGCGGCGUGCUUAACACAUGCAAGUCGAACGAUGAAGCCCAGCUUGCUGGGUGGGUUAGUGGCGAACGGGUGAGUAACACGUGAGUAACCUGCCCUUAACUCUGGGAUAAGCCUGGGAAACUGGGUCUAAUACCGGAUAGGAGCGUCCACCGCAUGGUGGGUGUUGGAAAGAUUUAUCGGUUUUGGAUGGACUCGCGGCCUAUCAGCUUGUUGGUGAGGUAAUGGCUCACCAAGGCGACGACGGGUAGCCGGCCUGAGAGGGUGACCGGCCACACUGGGACUGAGACACGGCCCAGACUCCUACGGGAGGCAGCAGUGGGGAAUAUUGCACAAUGGGCGCAAGCCUGAUGCAGCGACGCCGCGUGAGGGAUGACGGCCUUCGGGUUGUAAACCUCAUUCAGUAGGGAACAAGCGAUCGUGACGGUACCCUCAGAAGAAGCACCGGCUAACUACGUG
rnacentral:rRNA from 1 species